rnacentral:rRNA from 1 species
UAAGGAAUAUUGGACAAUGGAGGCAACUCUGAUCCAGCCAUGCCGCGUGAAGGAUGAAGGCGCUCAGCGUUGUAAACUUCUUUUGGAUAGGAACAAAACACCCGAUGCGUCGGGUACUGAGGGUACUAUCAGAAUAAGCACCGGCUAACUCCGUGCCAGCAGCCGCGGUAAUACGGAGGGUGCAAGCGUUAUCCGGAAUCACUGGGUUUAAAGGGUGCGUAGGCGGCUCGAUAAGUCAGUCGUGAAAUUCCCCGGCUUAACCGGAGGGACUGCGAUUGAUACUGUUGAACUUGAAUCAGAUUGAGGUAGGCGGAAUGUGGCAUGUAGCGGUGAAAUGCUUAGAUAUGCCAUAGAACACCGAUUGCGAAGGCAGCUUGCUGGAUCUGUAUUGACGCUGAGG